rnacentral:lncRNA from 1 species
AAACUUGCGAAAAAUCAAAUGAUUUAUUAUAAUAAGUUAUAAUAGGAUAAUAGAAUAAUAGGAUAAUAGGAGAGAAUAAUUCAAACUUCCUACCGGUUCCUACCGGGAAUAAUUACAACUUCAUACCAAAGAAAAAAAAAAGAAUAAAAUAAAAAUGUUUAGCAUAUGAUUUGCAAGUAUUUUGUACGAGAUUCUUUUAGAGGUUUCUGCCUUCAAAUACUGAAUUCAG